rnacentral:rRNA from 1 species
AUUGAACGCUGGCGGCAUGCUUUACACAUGCAAGUCGAACGGUAACAGGCCGCAAGGUGCUGACGAGUGGCGAACGGGUGAGUAAUGCAUCGGAACGUGCCCAGUCGUGGGGGAUAACGCAGCGAAAGCUGCGCUAAUACCGCAUACGAUCUAUGGAUGAAAGCGGGGGACCGUAAGGCCUCGCGCGAUUGGAGCGGCCGAUGUCAGAUUAGGUAGUUGGGGGGGUAAAGGCUCACCAAGCCAACGAUCUGUAGCUGGUCUGAGAGGACGACCAGCCACACUGGGACUGAGGCACGGCCCAGACUCCUACGGGAGGCAGCAGUGGGGAAUUUUGGACAAUGGGCGCAAGCCUGAUCCAGCAAUGCCGCGUGCAGGAAGAAGGCCUUCGGGUUGUAAACUGCUUUUGUACGGAACGAAACGGUCCGGGUUAAUACCCUGGGCUAAUGACGGUACCGUAAGAAUAAGCACCGGCUAACUACGUGCCAGCCGCCGCGGUAACAC